rnacentral:rRNA from 1 species
ACGAACGCUGGCGGCGUGCUUAACACAUGCAAGUCGAACGCUGAAGCUCAGCUUUUGUUGGGUGGAUGAGUGGCGAACGGGUGAGUAACACGUGAGUAACCUGCCCCCUUCUUUGGGAUAACGCCCGGAAACGGGUGCUAAUACUGGAUAUUCACUGGUCUUCGCAUGGGGGUUGGUGGAAAGGGUUUUUCUGGUGGGGGAUGGGCUCGCGGCCUAUCAGCUUGUUGGUGGGGUGAUGGCCUACCAAGGCUUUGACGGGUAGCCGGCCUGAGAGGGUGACCGGUCACAGUGGGACUGAGAUACGGCCCAGACUCCUACGGGAGGCAGCAGUGGGGAAUAUUGCACAAUGGGCGCAAGCCUGAUGCAGCGACGCCGCGUGAGGGAUGGAGGCCUUCGGGUUGUGAACCUCUUUCGCUCAUGGUCAAGCCGCAACAAUGGUUGUGGUGAGGGUAGUGGGUAAAGAAGCGCCGGCUAACUACGUG